rnacentral:rRNA from 1 species
UACGGGGGGGGCAAGCGUUGUUCGGAAUUACUGGGCGUAAAGGGCUCGUAGGCGGCCAACUAAGUCGGACGUGAAAUCCCUCGGCUUAACCGGGGAACUGCGUCUGAUACUGGAUGGCUCGAGUUUGGGAGAGGGAUGCGGAAUUCCAGGUGUAGCGGUGAAAUGCGUAGAUAUCUGGAGGAACACCGGUGGCGAAGGCGGCAUCCUGGACCAACACUGACGCUGAUGAGCGAAAGCCAGGGGAGCAAACGGG